GUUUGAGACUGCCUUAGCUGCUCCUUAUCAAUCUUGUCUGAGCUCAGAAAGAUGAGCAAAGUUGGUUCUGGUUGUACUUGGAUGGGAGACAACCUGGGAAUAUCAGAUGAUGCAGGCU
rnacentral:rRNA from 1 species